rnacentral:rRNA from 1 species
GACGAACGCUGGCGGCGUGCUUAACACAUGCAAGUCGAACGGAAAGGCCCUGCUUUUGUGGGGUGCUCGAGUGGCGAACGGGUGAGUAACACGUGAGUAACCUGCCCUUGACUUUGGGAUAACUUCAGGAAACUGGGGCUAAUACCGGAUAGGAGCUCCUGCUGCAUGGUGGGGGUUGGAAAGUUUCGGCGGUUGGGGAUGGACUCGCGGCUUAUCAGCUUGUUGGUGGGGUAGUGGCUUACCAAGGCUUUGACGGGUAGCCGGCCUGAGAGGGUGACCGGCCACAUUGGGACUGAGAUACGGCCCAGACUCCUACGGGAGGCAGCAGUGGGGAAUAUUGCACAAUGGGCGGAAGCCUGAUGCAGCAACGCCGCGUGCGGGAUGACGGCCUUCGGGUUGUAAACCGCUUUCGCCUGUGACGAAGCGUGAGUGACGGUAAUGGGUAAAGAAGCGCCGGCUAACUACGUGCCAGCAGCCGCGGUGAUACGUAGGGUGCGAGCGUUGUCCGGAUUUAUUGGGCGUAAAGGGCUCGUAGGUGGUUGAUCGCGUCGGAAGUGUAAUCUUGGGGCUUAACCCUGAGCGUGCUUUCGAUACGGGUUGACUUGAGGAAGGUAGGGGAGAAUGGAAUUCCUGGUGGAGCGGUGGAAUGCGCAGAUAUCAGGAGGAACACCAGUGGCGAAGGCGGUUCUCUGGGCCUUUCCUGACGCUGAGGAGCGGAAGCGUGGGGAGCGAACAGGCUUAGAUACCCUGGUAGUCCACGCUGUAAACGGUGGGUACUAGGUGUGGGGUCCAUUCCACGGGUUCCGUGCCGUAGCUAACGCUUUAAGUACCCCGCCUGGGGAGUACGGCCGCAAGGCUAAAACUCAAAGGAAUUGACGGGGCCCCGCACAAGCGGCGGAGCAUGCGGAUUAAUUCGAUGCAACGCGUAGAACCUUACCUGGGUUUGACAUGGAUCGGGAGUGCUCAGAGAUGGGUGUGCCUCUUUUGGGGUCGGUUCACAGGUGGUGCAUGCCUGUCGUCAGCUCGUGUCGUGAGAUGUUGGGUUAAGUCCCGCAACGAGCGCAACCCUUGUUCACUGUUGCCAGCACGUUAUGGUGGGGACUCAGUGGAGACCGCCGGGGUCAACUCGGGGGAAGGUGGGGAUGACGUCAAGUCCUCAUGCCCCUUAUGUCCAGGGCUUCACGCAUGCUACAAUGGCUGGUACAGAGAGUGGCGAGCCUGUGAGGGUGAGCGAAUCUCGGAAAGCCGGUCUCAGUUCGGAUUGGGGUCUGCAACUCGACCUCAUGAAGUCGGAGUCGCUAGUAAUCGCAGAUCAGCAACGCUGCGGUGAAUACGUUCCCGGGGCU